rnacentral:rRNA from 1 species
AGAGUUUGAUCCUGGCUCAGGAUGAACGCUGGCGGCGUGCCUAACACAUGCAAGUCGAGCGGUUUGUUGGAUGCUUGCAUCCAAUAGAUAGCGGCGGACGGGUGAGUAACACGUGGAUAAUCUACCUUUUACUGGGGGACAACAGCUGGAAACGGCUGCUAAGACCGCAUGAGCUUGGGGAUGGGCAUCCAUCUGCAAGG